CUCGUAGGUGGUUCGGUAAGUCGGAUGUGAAAUCUCCAGGCUCAACCUGGAGGGGUCAUUCGAUACUGCCGUGACUAGAGGUCGGUAGGGGAGUGUGGAAUUCCUGGUGGAGCGGUGAAAUGCGCAGAUAUCAGGAGGAACACCCGUAGCGAAGGCGGCACUCUGGGCCGAUACUGACACUGAGGAGCGAAAGCGUGGGAGCGAACA
rnacentral:rRNA from 1 species